rnacentral:rRNA from 1 species
CUCCGCCGCGACCGGCGCACGGGUGAGUAACACGUAUGCAACCUGCCCCUGUCAGGGGGACAACCCGCCGAAAGGCGGGCUAAACCCGCGUACAUGCCACCGGGGCAUCCCGGAGGCAGGAAAGGCUUCGGCCGGACAGGGAUGGGCAUGCGGCGCAUUAGGCAGUAGGCGGGGUAACGGCCCACCUAACCGACGAUGCGUAGGGGUUCUGAGAGGAAGGUCCCCCACACUGGUACUGAGACACGGACCAGACUCCUACGGAAGGCAGCAG